GAUGAACGCUGGCGGCGUGCCUAAUACAUGCAAGUCGAGCGAACAGACGAGGAGCUUGCUCCUCUGACGUUAGCGGCGGACGGGUGAGUAACACGUGGAUAACCUACCUAUAAGACUGGGAUAACUUCGGGAAACCGGAGCUAAUACCGGAUAAUAUAUUGAACCGCAUGGUUCAAUAGUGAAAGACGGUUUUGCUGUCACUUAUAGAUGGAUCCGCGCCGCAUUAGCUAGUUGGUAAGGUAACGGCUUACCAAGGCAACGAUGCGUAGCCGACCUGAGAGGGUGAUCGGCCACACUGGAACUGAGACACGGUCCAGACUCCUACGGGAGGCAGCAGUAGGGAAUCUUCCGCAAAGGGCGAAAGCUUGACGGAGCAACGCCGCGUGAGUGAUGAAGGUCUUCGGAUCGUAAAUCUCUGUUAUUAGGGAAGAACAAAUGUGUAAGUAACUAUGCACGUCUUGACGGUACCUAAUCAGAAAGCCACGGCUAACUACGUG
rnacentral:rRNA from 1 species